rnacentral:rRNA from 1 species
UACGUAGGGUGCGAGCGUUUGUCCGGAAUUACUGGGCGUAAAGAGCUCGUAGGUGGUUUGUCGCGUUGUUCGUGAAAACUCACAACUCAAUUGUGGGCGUGCGGGCGAUACGGGCAGACUGGAGUACUGCAGGGGAGACUGGAAUUCCUGGUGUAGCGGUGGAAUGCGCAGAUAUCAGGAGGAACACCGGUGGCGAAGGCGGGUCUCUGGGCCUUACCUGACGCUCAGGCGCGAAAGCGUGGGGAGCGAACAGG